CCUACGGGUGGCAGCAGUGGGGAAUAUUGGACAAUGGGCGCAAGCCUGAUCCAGCAACGCCGCGUGUAUGAAGAAGGCUUUCGGGUUGUAAACUUCUUUUCUCAGGGACGAAGCAAGUGACGGUACCUGAGUAAUAAGCCACGGCUAACUACGUGCCAGCAGCCGCGGUAAUACGUAGGUGGCAAGCGGUAUACGGAUUUACUGGGUGUAAAGGGCGUGUAGGCGGGAAAGCAAGUCAGAUGUGAAAACCAUGGGCUCAACCUGUGGCCUGCAUUUGAAACUGUUUUUCUUGAGUACUGGAGAGGCAGACAGAAUUCCUGGUGUAGCGGUGAAAUGCGUAGAGAUUAGGAGGAACACAAGUGGCGAAGGCGGUCUGCUGGACAGAAACUGACGCUGAGGUGCGAAAGCGUGGGGAGCAAACAGGAUUAGAUACCCUAGUAGUC
rnacentral:rRNA from 1 species